AGAGUUUGAUCAUGGCUCAGAACGUACGCUGGCGGCACGCCUAAUACGUGCAAGUCGAACGAAGUAGCAAUACUUAGUGGCAGACGGGUGAGUAACAUGUAGGUAUCUUCCCAUUGGUGAGGAAUAACACGAGGAAACUUGUGCUAAUACCUCAUAAGUCUUUACGGAGAAAGCUUUAUGCGCCGAUGGAUGAGCCUGCACUUGAUUAGUUUGUUGGUAGGGUAACGGCCUACCAAGACAAUGAUCAAUAGCUGAUUUGAGAGGAUGAUCAGCCACAUUGGGACUGAGACACGGCCCAAACUCCUACGGGAGGCAGCAGUAGGGAAUCUUGCACAAUGGGGGAAACCCUGAUGCAGCGAUGCCGCGUGAGUGAAGAAGGCCUUUGGGUUGUAAAGCUCUUUCGUCGGGGAAAAAAAUGACUGUACCCGAAUAAGAAGGUCCGGCUAACUUCGUGCCAGCAGCCGCGGUAAUAC
rnacentral:rRNA from 1 species